rnacentral:rRNA from 1 species
UACGAAGGGGGCUAGCGUUGCUCGGAAUUACUGGGCGUAAAGCGCACGUAGGCGGACUCUUAAGUCGGUGGUGAAAUCCUGGAGCUCAACUCCAGAACUGCCUUCGAUACUGGGAGUCUUGAGUCCGGGAGAGGUGAGUGGAACUGCGAGUGUAGAGGUGAAAUUCGUAGAUAUUCGCAAGAACACCAGUGGCGAAGGCGGGUCUCUGGGCAUUACCUGACGCUGAGGAGCGAAAGCAUGGGGAGCGAACAGG